ACCAAGGCGACGAUGGGUAGCCGAUCUGAGAGGAUGAACGGCCACAUUGGAACUGAGACACGGUCCAGACUCCUACGGGAGGCAGCAGUGGGGAAUAUUGCACAAUGGGGGAAACCCUGAUGCAGCAACGCCGCGUGAGUGAUGAAGGCCUUCGGGUUGUAAAGCUCUGUCUUAGCUGACGAUAAUGACGGUAAGCUAGGAGGAAGCCACGGCUAACUACGUGCCAGCAGCCGCGGAAAUACGUAGGUGGCGAGCGUUGUCCGGAAUUACUGGGCGUAAAGGGAGCGUAGGCGGUUUAUUAAGUGGGAUGUGAAAUCCCCGGGCUUAACCUGGGAAUUGCAUUUCAAACUGGUAGACUAGAGUGCAGGAGAGGAAAGUGGAAUUCCAAGUGUAGCGGUGAAAUGCGUAGAGAUUUGGAGGAACACCAGUGGCGAAGGCGACUUUCUGGACUGUAACUGACGCUGAGGCUCGAGAGCGUGGGGAGCAAACAGGAUUAGAUACCCUGGUAGUCCACGCUGUAAACGAUGAAUACUAGGUGUAGGGGGCGAAGCCCUCUGUGCCGCAGUUAACACAUUAAGUAUUCCGCCCGGGGAGUACGAUCGCAAGAUUA
rnacentral:rRNA from 1 species